rnacentral:piRNA from 1 species
GAGGACAUCAUAGUGGAAGAACAGUUGAAU